rnacentral:piRNA from 1 species
CUUGAACAGAGGCAGUCUAUGGUUCUAGAGC